rnacentral:lncRNA from 1 species
UUUACUAGAUACCAAAUAUUGUGGUAAAUAUUUUCGAUAGAUCACUUCAGUUAGUAGCUCUUACUCACUAAAAUAAUCCACCCCCAUGUAACUCCUCUCUCAGAGUAGCAUUUAAGACUUUUCUGCUGGACUUUAUAUUACAAUGGUGAUAGCCACAGAUACUGUUUUAUUUUUAGAUUUGAUUCUUUCUCAUUCAGUAUAUUCAAAACCUUUUUAAUGUCAUUUUCCCUUUGAGCCCAGUGUUGAUGGAACCCCACUAUGAACUGAAUGAGGAUUUUAUCAAGGGACAUAGUAUCCAUAUUCCCAUGAAAAGGUAUUUAUAUCUACUGCCUAUAUGAAGAGAAGGUUUCUGCUUCAUAUUCAGUUAUCCAAUCCAAAGACAACUUGAGAGCGUAACAAGGUAGUGUCAUGGAGUGUCAUUUGCUCAUCAGCAAAAUAUGGUAAUCUAAGCUUGGCCCCUUCAGCUUCUUCCUUAACAAGCAGAGUGGUCUGGGGUUAGUCUAUUUAGGGCUGCCCACCUUAAGCUCACUGCUUAAAGCUAAAACCUUUUAAGAAACUCAAGUGCUUUGCAGUUUUAAAGUAGCAAUUAUUGUUCUCUCCAGCAACGAGUACAAGUCCUGUGUACAGAAAAAUUUUCCUUUCUCCUAUGGUGAAAAUUUGUCUUACUCAGGUGUCAGUUCAUGC